rnacentral:rRNA from 1 species
CAGUAGCGUAUAUUAAAGCUGCUGCAGUUAAAAAGCUCGUAGUCGGAUCUCUGGCUUGGGCGAGCGGUCCGUCGCAAGGCGUGUACUGCUCGUGUCCCGGCCAGUCUACCGGUUAGCCGCGCGGUGCUCUUAACUGAGUGCCGUGCGCGGCCGGAACGUUUACUUUGAGAAAAUUGGAGUGUUCAAAGCAGGCACAACCGCCUGAACAGCUCAGCAUGGAAUAAUGGAAGAGGACCUCGGUUCUAUUUCGUUGGUCUCCGGAACGCGAGGUAAUGAUCAAAAGGGACAGACGGGGGCAUUCGUACUGCGGUGUGAGAGGUGAAAUUCUUGGAUCGCCGCAAGACGCCCAAAAGCGAAAGCAUUUGCCAAGAAUGUCUUCAUUGAUCAAGAACGAAAGUUGAGGGUUCGAAGAUGAUUAGAUACCAU